rnacentral:rRNA from 1 species
UACGUAGGGUGCAAGCGUUGUCCGGAAUUAUUGGGCGUAAAGAGCUCGUAGGCGGUUUGUCGCGUCGAAUGUGAAAACCCGGGGCUCAACCCCGGGCCUGCAUUCGAUACGGGCAGACUAGAGUUCGGUAGGGGAGUCUGGAAUUCCUGGUGUAGCGGUGAAAUGCGCAGAUAUCAGGAGGAACACCGGUGGCGAAGGCGGCUAUCUGGCCCGUAAUUGACGCUGAGGCGCGAAAGCGUGGGGAGCAAACAGG